GCGUCGGAGGUGUAAUGGCAUUCCCGCCUGGUCAGCAGGAGGUGCGGGUUCGAGUCCUGCCUGGCGCU
rnacentral:tRNA from 1 species